UGCGGGGGGGGCAAGCGUUGUUCGGAAUUACUGGGCGUAAAGGGCUCGUAGGUGGCCAACUAAGUCAGACGUGAAAUCCCCCGGCUUAACCGGGGAACUGCGUCUGAUACUGGAUGGCUUGAGUUCGGGAGAGGGAUGCGGAAUUCCAGGUGUAGCGGUGAAAUGCGUAGAUAUCUGGAGGAACACCGGUGGCGAAGGCGGCAUCCUGGACCGAUACUGACGCUGAGGAGCGAAAGCCAGGGGAGCAAACGGG
rnacentral:rRNA from 1 species